AUGAUACAACUGGACUUAAUGUCAGGGAAGACCUUUACCUUUUACCAUUUUAUUAUAACAAACAUCUAUCUGGCAAAGAAAAUCAUAGCCUGGCUUAUUUGUAAAUUGCUACUGCCUACCAUAUUUCCUAAUGCAAUGUACGUGUGUGAAGGGACACAAUGCCACCCAUUGUGAGUUCAGUUGUACACUUAACACUGGCUUUCUCCAUAAACACGGAUAAAAGAGGUACAAUGUAAUCACCCAUAAUAAUAUACAGUUCUUAGAGCAAGUGAAUAAAGUCAGUAAUUAAGUAGAUGAAGCCUGUUAACCACUGAAGUGAGCUGGAAGAGUGACACUUAAGCCCCCACACAGACAGUUUUAGACUAAUUAGUGCUUACAAAACUCCUGUAUAGUAGGUUACCAAAGGGCAUCUGAAUGACAUGCUUGAAGCACUCGUCAAGAGAGCUUUGCCAGGGUAUUUUUGGUUGGGGAUCAUCAAACUUCAAAGCAAGCUAAUGCUACAGUACUGGGAGAGUCAGGAAGUGAAUGAAUGCUGGGUUAGUCACAGAUAGACAGAAUUGGAGAAACGCCAAUGGAUGAUGCAGUUGAACCUCCUCACCCCCACCACUGCCAAAAGGGACGUCAACAAGCUUCAUUCAGUAACUGCUUAUCUGAACUUUUCCUGAAAACCCUGAAGGAAAUCAAUGAAACCAGCCCACUUGGGUGAACUGCUGUUUUGGAGAGAACAGACAAAAUACAGAAACUGUUUAAUAGACUGUUGAUUCCCUGCAUGUAUAAGAUCUCAUGUAAUAAUUAAUUAAUAGUUCCAGCAAAUGCUGUUGUACAGAAUUAAUAGCAAGGACUUAUUUCUGAGAUCUUGGGAGAGCUUCUCCCAGUCACUAUUGACCAAAAGAGGGGAAUGUCCCCCCCCCCUUCCAGGACUUGUUUUCAUGUGAGUUCAAACUUCUCCUGCUACUGGCUCUCUUGGUUAGAGAAAGUAGGAGUUAAGGACGUAUAAUAUCUGGAGGUCCACACAUUUCACAUUACUAGUGAGGAUAUUGGUGGAUUAUAUUAGCUGACAACUGACUCAAUAUCUUAGGGCCCAAUAUCACAGCCAUAUAGCCCAGAAUAUCAAGGCAGAAAAUCCCACAAUAUCUGAGUCCACACUGCCAUAUUUUCCAGUUCAAAGCAUAUAAUGUGGGAUUUUAUUCAGCUGUGUGGAAGGGGCCUUAUAUUCUAUUGUUCAUCCUGACAAGAGUAAGUCCAUUAAAUCAAUGGGUUUACCUAUGUGUUCCCUUACCAUUUAAGUAUUGAUUAAAUGAGUCUUUUCAAAUUGGGUUUAACAGGAUACUAUCCAAUAUAUGGCAGUCUUUUAAGGAUAAAUAGAAUUGAUAUGUCAGGUAAGCAGAGAGUGGUAACUGUGAACAAAGGACUUUUGUAAGGUAUGACCUAAAUUUAUAGACCUAAACCAGUGGUUCUCAACCUGGGGUCCCCAGAUGUUUUUGGCCUACAACUCUCAGAAAUCCCAGCCAGUUUAUCAGUUAACCAGGGAGUCGAAGGCCAAAAACAUCUGGGGACCCCAGGUUGAGAACCACUGGCCUAAACCAUCUCACUAGGACUCCCCCUUAUUUUUUUCCCUAUCAUUAGUUAAGGAGCAUAUGACUAGUUCGUUUCCCCCAGGAAACAGGUGUGGACAAUAGACUGGUUGCUGUGCAGAUCGUGUAUCCACUCUCAGUUUUACCCUUACUCCUCUUGACCUUGAACACAGUUGUUCAAGGUUAUAAGAGACCAUUCAGCUCUUGGAUUCUGCCCGUGACAGUUGUUAUCAUUGAGAGAACUUCCAUAUAAACUGAAGCAACAGGAAGAAGAGAGGUUGAAUAAUUGAGAAUAGAUCCACAGCUCUACAGUUAUGGUCCAGCCUUGUAGUGAACUUUUUUCUAAUUCAACUUGUCUAAUUCUGUCAACCUGUGUUUACUUUCUAAAUUCUAGUUUUUAUAUAGCCCAUAUAAAAUAGAAGGAAAAAGGAAGAGAGGCCGACCAAGGGUGAAAUGGAUGGAUGGUAUCCUUGAAGUGACUGGCCUGACUUGAAAGAACUGGGGGUGGCGACAGCCGACAGGAAGCUCUGGUGUGGACUGGUUCAUGAGGUCACGAAGAGUUGGAAAUGACUGCGUGAAUGAAGAAGAAUAUAGCCCAUAGUCAGGGCUAUAUGAAGGAAGUGAUGAAUAAUUUUACUUCUAAUUGUGAGAGUCUUUGAGAACCUCACUACUUUCAAUUACUACUCACAAUUAAGGACUUAUUCUGUGUUGUAUACUUUUAAAAUUACAUGGUUAUCGUCUUUACACAAUUUUAAAUAAAUCUUAUUUUCUUUGACCUAUGUCUAGAUUUUUCUUAUCUUGGUUGGAUCUAUCCUUAAGUGGUAUAUAAGAAAACUAAUUAAGAUAUUUGUUUUCCUUAAACAUUUUGAGGGAAAGCCUGUCUGUAGUUAUACCAAACUCAUUAAAAAGAUCACUUUUAAUGCAAUGAUUUUUAAAUCCAGCAUGUGCCUUAACUUUGUCAUACUACAGAUAACCAUGGCACCCAAUUUUUAAAUCACAAUAUUCACAUUCCAAGAAACUUUCUCACUACACAAUAUCAAUUCAUUCAACUACAAAACAGCAAGCUUUGUAAUUCUCAUGUAAUUUUAUAUUAUGGAUUUUCAGACCACUUUUUCCCUUAGUGUCAUAUAGUGUUUCCUUAUUUGAGGUAAGUAUUGAACAACUUGAUGAAGUUCUGGAAUGAAAUAGCUGAACUUUGAUGUGAGUGGGAGAAGGUCAGAAUUUCACAAAAAGUAGAUAAUGGAGGGACACAAUCCCAGUUUGUGUGGCAAAAGGAACUGAUUCAAUUCAGAAUGAGCGGAACAAUAUUUUGAUUUUUUUUUUAGUGUUGUGGAAUAUUGCAUCUUUCUGGCAGAUUUUAAUUUUUUUCCAGACAAAAUUAAGUCUUAUCUUCUCACCAUGCACACUGGACCUACAUGUUUCCCAGUCAGGUGCCCCUCCCACUGUUCAGUGGUCAGGGAAAGAAUAGGAGCAAAUGACAGGAAGCAUUGCAGCCAACUGACUCUGCUCUUAUAGCCAGCAGUCAAAAGAAAUUGUCACUCUACUGAAUCUGUGGAGGGGCCCACAGUGUCCAGGGGAAUGCCUUGAUCUUUCUAAAGGUGGCUUACGGAUCUGACCUUCCCUUGAUUUCAGGCUACCUCUAUCUUCUUUGUUUACUGAAUGGUUGGGGAGGUGGUUCAGGGAGUGGAACAGUAAGUGGAGGUGCUGAAGUCUUUCAUCUCCCAUUACCAAAAGGGAAACAUACAUUAUAUUGUGUCAUUAAUAUGAUGACAGCCCCCCCCCCCCCACAUCAUCCCAGGCUAAAGAAAUGGGGAUAAAAGUCUUCCAUCAACAUUUAUAACCAUUCAUUCCAAGAAGGGGGA
ensembl:lncRNA